rnacentral:rRNA from 1 species
GUCUACGGCCAUACCACCGUGAACGGGCCCGAUCUCGUCUGAUCUCGGAAGCUAAGCAGGGUCGGGCCUGGUUAGUACUCGGAUGGGAGACUGCCUGGAAACACUGGGUGCUGUGAAUU